GACGAACGCUGGCGGCGCGCUUAACACAUGCAAGUCGAACGGUAAGGCCCUUCGGGGUACACGAGUGGCGAACGGGUGAGUAACACGUGGGUGAUCUGCCCUGCACUUCGGGAUAAGCCUGGGAAACUGGGUCUAAUACCGGAUAGGACCACUGCCUGCAUGGGUGGUGGUGGAAAGCUUUUGCGGUGUGGGAUGGGCCCGCGGCCUAUCAGCUUGUUGGUGGGGUGAUGGCCUACCAAGGCGACGACGGGUAGCCGGCCUGAGAGGGUGACCGGCCACACUGGGACUGAGGUACGGCCCAGACUCCUACGGGAGGCAGCAGUGGGGAAUAUUGCACAAUGGGCGCAAGCCUGAUGCAGCGACGCCGCGUGAGGGAUGACGGCCUUCGGGUUGUAAACCUCUUUCAGCACCGACGAAGCGCAAGUGACGGUAGGUGCAGAAGAAGGACCGGCCAACUACGUGCCAGCCGCCGCGGUAA
rnacentral:rRNA from 1 species